GAGAUGUUGGCAGAGGAAGACGGUAACUCUGAGGAUCCUUAGGGGCUAGUAUAUGUCAGCUAGGCUUCAAACAGUGGGGAGAAUUUGGACAAGCAGCUUUGGAAGUAAGAAGCAAGGGGAUUCCAGACAGGAAUGAGAAAGAAUCAAAUCACUGAAGCGAGAAAGCGCCGGCUGUGCUCAGGGGUCCACAGCAGUUCUGUUUGACUGGAACAUGUGUCAGAGGAGAGACAAGAUUAGGAGGGUUUGAACACCAGAGGAAGGAGGCCAGGCCUUAUCAGAGGUACAAAUCGAGGCACAAAUGGGAACAGUGACAGGUCAGUGCCUGUAACCACAGGUAGAAGAUUAUCAGAGAGCAUAAGGACCUCGGUUCACCUUAGGAGUGAGAUUUUCACCAACCUCUUUGAUUCUUUACAACAAAGCAGAGACUGCGAUUAAGCUUUUCUCAUUUCAGAUGGAAAAGAAAUAAGGUAACCUUUGGGCAAAGAACAUUAGAUUUCAGUUAAUUAUCAGUGCAGGGCUUAGCAACAGCUUUGCAGCCCAAUUACAAUUUAUGCUCUGUUCUUAAGGGUGGCAAAGUCCUCAUUUUUAGCUAUGAGACCAUACAGCAACCACUCCAUUUCCAGCAGAACACUAGCACUGAAAUUCAAGUCUCCUCUAUGAUGGUUUUUAGGUCAAGUUCUUGGACAGGAAACUGGCGCAUCUGACCUAAUACAGUGGCAGUAAAAUUGGAGAAGAGGAAACAAUUUCAAGACAAAGUUUCACAUUCAAGAGAAUGUGAAGACUUAAAAUAACAAGAAGGGAAGGGGUGUGCACAGGUCACUUCAGCUCCUCGAGGAAGCAGAGGUCAAGACAGAAAUGGAAGAUAUUCAUCAGGAGGAAUGCCUAUGGAUCCUAAAGAAAACUGGGCACAGAAGGAGUGCUGGAGAUUGGAACCAAAGCCUCCUAUGUGCCAAGCAAGCACUCUACCAAGAUACUACAUCUUCAGUUCACAGUGAUGGAUUUCAAAGGCCACAGUAUUCUAUAAUUGUAGUGCCUGGGGCAGGUCCCUUCAUCUCUCAGGCUCAUUUUCCCCAGUUGUAAAACAUCCUUGAAGUAUUGCCCCUGUGCCAUGUCACCUUGCCUCGGAGCCAGCUGAUUAUGGACUGGAACCUCCACAAACUACAAGUAAACAAAAUGAUCCUGAAAAAGGCAAUUGCAGAGAUAGGCUGUCAAGGCUGAGGGACUCUGGAAAUGAAAUUAUUUCAGCCUCUGCCACCCACACAGAUCUGGCAAGAACAAAAGAACAAAAGGGUGUUUGUGCAGCCGCCUUGUCAUAGUUGGUAAGCAGCUCAAUGUCACUUGCCUCAGGCUCCCAAAUCUCUGGCAAAUAGUAACCUACUCAUCCUCAAGCCCUCCCCAAAAGAAGGACAUUAGUAUUCACUGUGAUGAGAAGCCAGGAAAUCGCAAUUUUUCUAAAGCCUUGGAUACAAUGUCAGCUCUGGAAAUCCACCUGAAGCUUUCUAGGUUCAGUGACAGGUCAAAGUUACCAUUUACACUUUGAGGAAUACAGUUUUACAAAAUCCUUGAAUUUAAGACCAAAAAAAUCUUUUAAAGUCACACUAUGCCAGCUAAACACAUUCAGUUCUUGAAUGAGUUAAAUACCUCAGCCUAAAGUCACCUGACCUCCCGUGAGCCCCUCCAAUGAGCAUUCCAUUUGAAUAUGUGGUAAAAAUGCAGGGAUGCAGAGAGUUGCAAGGACCAAAAUACAACCUGGAGACAACGGAGUGUGAGACCAGUGUAUUAUGUUUGAGUGGAGGCAGAAUGGUCAAGAGAGCCCAUAUACACUGGAAAAAAGAAGGAAAGUAUAGAGACCAAGACUUGGGCUUGGGAUACAGAAACCAGGUUUCAGUUGGGCUUAUAGGUUGCCACUUGCACAACUUGUACGCCAAGGAAGGUGGAUGGGUUGGUAGGUAAGGAGCGUGGAACCCACCAUUCUCCAGGCAAUCCAUUGUAUGAGUGAUGAUGGUUUUCUUGGUCAUCUUAGGUUGGGCUGCAAGAACCAUAGUAUUGGACUGAACAUAGUGAGACUUCAAGUAGCAUCUUACUUCUACUUGCAAUUGCCAUUUUGACCAUGGACCAGUUUAAAAAAAAAACACUCAUUGUUAUGGAUUAAGACCUGGUGGUCAAUUUAACACCAGCUGGAUUACAUCAGCAUGGCAUUGAGCAAAGAUGCUCCAGCUGAGGAAAGUUGCCAAGAUAAAUAGGUGAAAAAGAAGGGAGGUGUGAAGGCAUUGAGGUGUUAAUGCGCUAUUGUGUUGAGGCAUUGUGGGUUCUCCCACGAGUUGCUGCUUGAGCCAUUGGUUCUCCUGGAAAAGCUUUGGUCCUCACAUUGAGCAUUGCUUCCUGGCUCUAGAGGGAAAGACAUGUGCUGCUUGGUCUCCAGGAUAAACUUGUCAAGCUGGCUUCCUCGCAGGUGCCUGACUAUGCUUGUCAUCGUCGGAGUUCGGGGCCUCUAUAUCGCUGAGAUGGCUGUGAUGCCUUUCAGGACAACCGUGGUCUUUGUUGUAAGGGUGACUUCUCAGCUCCAGUGUAAAACCCUCAUCAUCCCACCAACACAGCUCCUUCACCUUGCUGGCAUGGACUUUCUGGCUUCCACCGCUGACCGUUGGGCCUUCCCAGCACGGAUCUGUAAAAAAGACUAGUGGCGAAGAAAGAGUUGCUGAGAGCAAAGAACAGAAGAGAUGGCUCAGGAAGGGCAGGGAAUGCAUUUAGUAUUCCUUGAAAUCCUCAGUUUCUGGCCCUCAACUACAAUUAAUCAUCAACACAUGGUAAAUCUCAUUCCAGUGAAUGGACUGAUUUUGUUAACAGCAAUUUUUCCUGAGUGUCUCAUGUCAGAUGUGUUUGCCUGAGAAUCUGCUCAGUGGUUACAUACUUCACAAAAUAUUUUUCUCUUUCUUAUCCUAGUUUAGCUGCCUGAUCUGACUGACAGUAUCCAUUGGUGGUUUGGUGGGCAUUGCUGAAUUUCUCUUCUUACCUUUCUCCCCUUCAGUACUGCCCCAAAACAUUAAUACCAGAAUCAAUUCCUUAGCAUGGGGCUGGAAUGAUGCAUCCCACACCAACAACCAACCACAUCCUGGGUCAUCACCACUCAUAGUCUGGGCUUGCUCAGAGUUGGUAGAUGGACCAUGGAUGUAAGAAAAGACAAACAAGCCUUCAUUGAUUUUAUCAUGGAUUUAAAGUUCCCUACAGGCCGUGUUCGCCUUUGAUGCCUCUGUUGGAGCUCGCCAAGUGCCCCUUCCCUGAUAUUCACAUGCAGCUAACAGACUUGACUCUUAAUACUAAAACUGAUCAUCUAGGGCUCUCUCAUCAUUUUCAGAGUAAAUAAAUCCUACCUCUGCAAAUUCCCCAAUUGUGAUCAUAUUUAAUUUGUGAGUGGAGGAGGAGGGAAAGAAAAGAUUAGAGAAGACAAGGGGAUAUAAGAAGAGAAAACAGAGAAGAGCAUGUUAAAGAAAGAAAAAUAGAAUUUGGCCAAGAAGAAACUUGCAAAUCUAAUAAGCCUUAAUUUUUAAAAAGUGGAAUUUUAUCAUAAUUAUUAUCAAAGUCUUAUGUGUGCAUAGCUUGUGAGAUGCAAAAUAGUUUGACUAUGCUUUUUACAAAAUUCACACUUUCUGUUCUCUUUCAUCUUCCAUUUUCACACCCAAAAGCAAUUAUUUAAUGCCCAUCUGGCUUUUGCUUCUAGUAUUCAUCUCUGUGUUUCUGUUUGUUGAUUUUUUUCAAUUUUUGAUGUCAACCGCUCGUUUCCUCAUGACAAUGAGGACUGAAUUCUUUCACACUCUGAGCCUCUAUUGGACAUAUUCCUCUUCCCCUCAGAUGUUUUUAAGUCAGAUUUUUCUUAAACCAAUAUUUUGGUCAUACCGUGAUUAUUUCAAACUAUGACUAAUAAUGGCUAUAUUAUGUAAAAUAUUAUAAUUUUGCAUUUACUUUCACAACCCUUUUUUUCUAAUCUUUGAAGUUAAUUGCUUUGAAUUUCACCUUUUCUGUGUACUUUUCUAUGUUUGUAUUUAAUUCCUUCCUAAAUUUUAUCGGAAGUAAAAGUCCUCUCCAUACAUUUAAGAGUGCUAGGGAACAUGUGAGUCCCCUUUGUUUUUCCUUUGGUGAUGUCCCUUCCCAGAGCCUCCCCUCAAACUGAUCCUCUCCCCUGAAUGGUUUUCUCUCGGGUGGCUACACAACCAUGUUCUGGAAGCUCACUCCUCCAAUAUUCUGCGAACUCCCUUCAUCUCUUCCUACACAUGGACUCUGUACACUCAGUGUGCAUGGUUUACUCUCUCAUAUUUUUGAAGCAUAUCAUCUAGUAGCUUCCCGAAAAAUGGGUACGUGUGGAAAAUGCUUUCUGAGUGUCUGAAAGUGAUAAUUAUCCUAUGUCUACAUAUAGUUAAGUUUCAUCCGGGCAUAAACUUCUAUGCUGAAAAUAAUUUUCCUUUUAAACUUUGAGAGAUAGCUCUGCUUCAUUUUCUUUCAGCUUCCGGUGUUCCAGUCAUCUUUUUAGUAUCCCUCAUUUGAACAGAGAGCCUUCAAAUAUCUUUGCUAAUAGAAAAGCAAAGAGAAAAACACAUGGGGAAAGUAAUUGGAAGAGAAAGUCACUACAAGAAUCUGGAAAUGUUACACCUUAAUGAAUGAAAUAAGCAAUGUCUCUUCUUUACAUCCAGUAUCAGAAAUUUUGUAAUAAUGAGCCUUAGCAUGACUGCCCAUUCAUCGUAUAGGUACCCCUAGCUGAAGCUUUUCCCCUAGAAAAGAAGACCCCCUGUCCUAGGGAGAAAAUAUUUUUGUUUUGUUGUUUUAAUCUAUGUUUUGUUUCAUUUUUGUGGUACCAAAGAUUGAAUCUAAGCAUUCACAUAUACUAAGCAAGCACUCUGUGACUGUGACUGACCUACAUCUGCAGCACUUCUUGAAACUAUUUUUAAAGAAUUCUUCUCCUAGUUUCCUUUUCUCCAUUUUCUUUCCCAUUUCUUGAAUACUGGGUCUUCCACACCAAUCUGCGAAUUUUACAUAUUUCCUGUUUUCCAUGUAUGGGCAAGUAGGUAGGCUUUCAAAAGGUCAUUUUCAAUUUAUAUAGUCAAAGAAAUGAAAAAUGGAUGCUCAACUGAGAGCAGCUAACGCAGCUGUAAACAUCAGGAUUCCCCCAACACUUGGGAGGCUGAAUCAGGAGGAAUGUUGCAAGUAUGAGAUCAGCCUGGGCUAUAAAGUGAGCUCAGGACCAGCCUGAACUGCAUAGAAAGACCCUGUCUCAAUAAAAUAAAAUAAAAUAAAAUCAAUCAGGAUUCCUUAUUUAAUCAAGACAUGAGCCCUAUUUCAGGCUCAUAACUUACUAUCUAAAAGACAGACCAGAUCCUCAGGAACAAGUCAGGAGCUCUCACUUCUUCCACAAAAGAAUGCAUGACUAUUUAUUUAAGUAAUUGCAUGCUUUGAAAGAAUAUCCAGACACCACUUUGGGAACUUUUUGAUUUAGCAUAUGAAUUGAUAAUAUUCUCUGAGUACCUAAAAUAAAUCAUGGCUUGCAGCCAGGUCAGGCUCAUAACAGUUUGGUGAAUGUUCCAGCAACUCACCCAACGGCCAUUUCCAUAGGCCUCAAAUAUCUUACUGGACUGUAUAGAUGUGGUGGAUAGCAGAACUUCUUAUUGAAAUGAACUUUGAUUCAUUCGUCUGUGGGUUAAAAGUUACUCUAAUAAGAAACUUCCCCAACACACACAAAUCAAGAUAUGAUAUUAUUAAAAAAAUAUAUAAAAACAUCGCAUCUGGUUCCUGGUUCCCUCAACUGUGGUUCUUCCCCUGAUCUCUGAUUUCCAAAUGCCAUGGUUGAGCAGUUCUCUCCAUUGUGUCAUUCCACCAUGAUGUUUCUACCUUGGUGCCAACUGACCAUUGACUGCACUCUCUGAAACCAUGAGCCAAACAAAAUGAACUUUGUUACAGCAAUGAAAAACUGACCAAUAUGUCUCACAAAUUCUUCACUGCAAUAUCUCUUGGUACCUCCCUGACCAAUUUUGACCCAGGUUGGCAAGAGCAAAAGCCACUCCUUGAGAAGAAUCUUGUAACCAAAGACUGAAACUCUUCGAGGAUGAGGGUCUAGAACCCUCAUUAGUUAAGUACCACCUUAACCAGUAGAAAUGCUAGAGUAAGGAAGAUCAGGGUGGAUUAGAGGAAAGGGAGCUCAUGAGUAUCCAGCUGCCAUCUCAAAGCCAGACACAAUGUUAGGGACUUAGCUCCCCUCUUAAACCUUCCUCUUGCUCUUUCUUCAUGCAAAGAAUCCUGAAAGAUCCUUAUCCAGAAGUACUUAACUUUUCAUACCAACCAACUAGAUGUAAAUGAUACAGAAUAUGAAUCACACUGAGAACUGUAGUGUCACUUAGAUCACUCUACCUGGGACAGAAAUAAUUAUCCUCCAAGCCUCUAAGCCCAUUGGCUCUGACCUGUAGCUAGAAAUUUCCAAAGGAUUUUUCUCUGAUAUUAACUGUUUCACCCAAGAGUAACUGAGGUUUGUGUCCACAUGUUUUAUAAAUAUCUUAUUUUCUUUUUUUUCUCUAAGAUAGGUAAUAGUUCUAGUUUUAUUUUUUCUUACUCUGAUCCUUAAAUCUUCUCUGUGUAUUGGUUGUUGUUUUGUUUUUGAAUCUCAUUAUUCAGUGUGUAGAUUUUCACUAUCUCUUUGGUGGCUGAAGGUUUUCUUCUGUAAAGGAUUCACUGAACUCUGAGUCCCCCUGUUAAUAAUGGUCUUCAUAUAAAGUCUUUUAACCAAUGUUCCUGCUUCUUUCUUCUUAGGAUCCACCUUUAGAAGUGAUGACAGCCUACAGCUUUGGACUCUCUCUAAAAUUGUUCCGCAUGAAUUUGGGCCUUCAUUUUUCCAUACUGCACUUACAUUCUAGGUCUCUAUUCUGCUUGAUUGCUUACCCAUCACUCAUCCAUCAGGUUACAUCUAGAGGUCCUCCAAUAGCCAUAUGCUGGUAGGUAGGGCUUCUAGAAGGUGAUUGGAUGAUGGGACCCCUACUGAGCUGAGCUAAGUUGAGCUGAGUUGAGUUGGUUUCAGGAGGUGGAACCUGGUCAAAAGAGGGUGGUUACUGGGGAAAUGACCUGAAAGGAUGGAUUUCACUCCCCAGCUCAUCUCUUCUCUCUCUGCUUCCUGGCCACUAUGUUACAUCAGGAAGCAUGGCAGACAGACAGGCAGGGGCAAAGUACAAAUAUAUUAUUCAUAGUAAUGCCCACUGUGAUCUACUUUGUCUAACAAGACUGUACCUCCUAAAGUUUCUGCCACCUUCCAACAGCAUUAUCAACUGGAAACCAAGUCUGUAGUACAUAAGCUACUGGGAACACUAAAAAGCCUGGCCACAAUUGGACUGUUAUUAACACUCACCUGGUUAAAGCAAAAUAGUGCUUCACCUGAGGAGCUUAAAUUAAUCACACCUGUGAAGUCUACUGGGCCAAGUAAAGUAACACAUUAUCAGGUCUGAGGGACUAGGACAUGAACAUUUUGAGGGAACAGAAGUAGCACCAUAGUCUACCAUAGUAACUUGCUGAUAAUACUUGUCAGAACUAAAAUUUGAUCAAUAUAUAUUGAUACCAAUAAGCAAGUGUGUGAGUAAAUGAAUGAAGGAAGACCAUUUCAUGAUUCAACACACAUUUAUUAUUAUGGCCUUGGUCAUGUUUUACACAAUUUGUGGAAGAUCUCUUGGAAACCAGUGCUUAUUCUACCAACUUAAUUUCGCUUAAUGUCAAAGAACAGAUUGUCAUAGUAAAAUGGCUCAAUUUAUUGAUCAUCAUGUAAUCAACAUAAGAGAAGAAGGCAGACUUAGUUUUCAGCAAUGGGACUACAAAUAUAGCAAAGUAAGAAGACAACAAAAAUUCCCAACUCAAGAGUGGAUAAUGGAUGCCUGGGUCCAUCUUCACCAAGCUGUCAAUCAGAGUUAAAGAAUGCUGAGGGGAGAUGGCAAGGAUUUGGAUGGUUUUGCUAUUAUGUAUCUUUGUGCGCCUUGCAUGUAUACAAACCUCCAAGGCAACCUCAGAGGUUCCGGGCCCAUACAAAAUCCAAGCCAUGGAUGAAGAGCAGGAAACUGCUCAAAGUCUCAAAACAAACUAAGUGGAAAAUAUCCACCUAUGGCAGUGAUGACUGAAAGACCCAAUUAAUCAUAUAAAUGUAACCGGAAAUGUCACUCAGCGCAACCGACCUGAAGGUGUCUUCUCUCACCCAUGCUGAAAAUCUACCAUUUUGCUAUAAAAUCCACCUGUCUGCUAUAUGGACUGUCUACAUGUCUCAUCAGAAACCUUUGUUUAAAGACCAGCAUGGCUGGUUCCUCUGACAUCAGGAUCUGCCCAUGUUGGAACCCUGUGACAUUAAGAACAGGUUUUCAGGUGAGAAGAGGGUGCCCAUGCUAAGGGCUCAAAGCUGAACAUGCAAGGUAUGGCUAACAGUCCACAAGGACUGGAGCAGCACAAGGCUGAGGCAGGCUGAGCAGGCAAGUAGCCACAUAGUAGGUGAGAGUGAAAGGGGAAGGAGGAUGCUGGGUAUCAUUUACACAGAGGGGAGCUGAUUGUCCACACAGCCACUCUCACCCUUGGACAAGACAGGGAGCUGGUUCCUGCAACUGGAGAACUCCUGUGGGCUAGAAAGGGAAUGGUCAGUAAGGAACUACAGGACACUAGGAAAUAGGUUUCAGACUGAGUUUUUGUACCAACAUUCACGUCUAUUAUCCUAAGGUUUUCGAUAAAGGACUACUCCAUCUUGAUCAAUCCUUAGUUUGUUAGAAGGACCAGAUCUCAGACUUAGCUGGGCCAAAGGCAGGAGAGGGGCUACAGCCAGGGGAGGCUCAUCAGGUUUUAGGAGGGAAUUUAAAGAGGAUUUUAUGGUCAUCUGCACCAAAUGACAUGGAAGAGAAAAGGAAGAUGCAUUCUUCAAAACUUUCCUGAAACAUUUAGGGAAAUAAAAGAAUAAAUUUUCUGCAUACAAGCUAGAUGGAAACUUACAGUUUAUCAAUUAGACCCUUAAAAGCUCUCUGACAGCAAAAAGCCAGAGGCCUGGUGACUUUCUUCUAGCAAACUCUGAAAGGGACAAAUCAGUGCUAAACUGAGCCUCUUCUCAGGAAGGCUUAGUGCUGAACAAAUCCUCUCUUACCUGCCCACUGCUGUCUGUGAGUACCACCUCCACUUUGAGGCCAUAGAGUCAGGGUCAAUGUCCUUAUCCAACUUAAGGGUCCACUGCGCCCAGGGCUUUUCCUGCUGGAUAAGUUCUUAAAACAUCUGCUUCCAUGCGCUGAUAUCCAAAACCAUUUUCCUGCUCUAAGGUAAAAGUUCAGUGUUCAGUGAGAUCCGCCACAUUUAGCUGACUUCCCAGUAAGACAAGAAAUUUCUUAUCUCUUGUUUAGUUUCUGCCUCCUGGUUUGUACUUUCCUCUUUUAGAUCCAGCACUCAGAGCAAUUCUUCCUUCUGAAGACAGAGGGCAGCACAGUUGUGUCACUUUAUGGCUUUGUUGUGCUGAGUACAGAGCUGUGUUCUGGGUUCUGAGAGCACCAUAAAUUAGUUUUUAUUUCCUUUUUCUCUCAUUUGAAAAAUAAACAGUAUAUUCUUUUAGGCAUUGGAUUAAGAGUUCCUACCCGCACCUAUGUUCACAUCAUUGUGGAAACUGGAGAGGUAAAUGGAGGGGCUGUGUUCAAUACCCACCUCAUACCCUGGCAGAGUCCUUGCCAUGGCCCCUGAAGGAACAUUUUUCCUGGUAGUUGGCAGAUGAGUCACACAGAAUGGAAGUGUUGAGCCAAAACCCCCAGAGCAAAUAAGCAAUAGAGGUGAAACUUAAAUCUAGGUCCCUGUGACUCCAAAACCUGCAGUCUGCACCCACUUCAAUCCUUGAGAAGUAGCCAAGAAUGUUGGAACUCUGGAGCCAAAAGCAGAGAAACAGCGGUGGAACCUGAAUCAGUGGUUUGGUCUAGCACAUUUCCUGCAUCCGAGAAACAACCAGGCUCCACAAGGUAUUGGUUACCUCACUGAGGACUGGAGGAAUCCUUAUACUUUCCUCACUAUCACUAAGAAAAAGAUGAAGAAAGAGAAAGGAAAAGGUAAAUUACAGCUUUUUCUACCCCAUAAUGCAUUUGAAGCAACUCAUUCUUUGUACCAAGGCAUUGUAACUCCAGGAUAAUCAAAUUACAGAAUUUAUUCAUCGGAAGAGGCUUAAUACUCUGUCCAUUUUAAUGAAACUUAUUAAAGGAGAAUUACAUAACAGAAGGUGUUAAAACAGUAAAUUUGCUUAAUAUUAUAUAUAUAUAUAUAUAUAUAUAUAUAUAUAUAUAUCAGUGUAAUUAUAUUUAAACGCUUUUAAAAAACAUACAAGAUCCUGAAAUUUAAUGGAAGAGACUGGCAUUAUACCUCACCACUGGACCUAUACAGCACACUAGGCACAAAGGGAACCAAUAAGAUUAUGGUAAAGCAGAAUUAGAGAGUUGCCUUAAAUAGAUGAAACAACAUAUUUAUCAACUAUCCAUAAACUUAUUGCCGAAUGUCAGGCAGGUCUCAAUCUAAUCACAACACAAAUGAGACAUCAUCCAGUAUGUUCAUUCCAUCCCUGAACUACUGAGAAUCAAUUUUUCUUUGCAAAAUUCCUUUUGCAAAAAUCCUUCCUUUUCAAAAUCGAUGUAUGUUUUUAGUGCUUUGGGAACACUUCUUUUCCAGCUGACUCUCUGCAGUUCUCCGGUUUUCCCCUUCUCUCAUUUUUGUCAGCUUGCCCUAUUAGUUAACAGCACAGAUCUGUAGCCAGUCUACCCAUGUUGAGACCUAGACCCACCGCAUAUUGCUUUGCUGGCCUUACCAAAAUCUUGAACAUCUCUGUGACUCAGUUUUCACAUAUAAAAUAGGUAUAAUCACAUUUCCUACCUCACACAGUGCUGUGAGUACUGAACAUUCUUUAAAAAUAGCCACUGGCAAUAGAGUAGAGAAGCGUUUGAUAUUUUCAUUGUUAUUGUUGCUUUGUUGCACAUUUCUUUAAAGCUAACACCUUUCUUAAGUAGUUUGUGGAUACAAGAUAAAAUCACAAAUAUUUCUUUUUUACAUUAUAGUACAGGUAGUAAAAUUAUAAGAAUAUGUCUAAUACUCAGAGACUAUAAUAAUAGUCACUUAGGAAUGCAGACUGGGCAGAAACGUACCUGAUUUUCAUAUUUUACCUCCAUCCCACUCUGUCACCUCCCCGAGCAAGGCUAGUUCUUCCCCUAGGACAUACAUCCAACUUCUGUUUUGAUGGCCAUCCAACCUGUGAAAGGUGACAGGAAAUGUAGCAGAUGUUACAUGAUGUCCACAGCCAAGUGCUGCUCAGGCCCCAGGGCUAAGUCUGCUAAGAAAACAAAGAUUACAUUAAACUCCUCAGGAAAAAUAAGGCAUAAUUUAUAGUUUUCAAGGGAGUGAUUUGUUGUACUAUUUCUGUAAAAACUUGGUUGGCUUCAGGCUUCUUGGGGUCUACCACUGGGAUGAGGGAGGGUCUACCUUGAUAGACAACCACUUAUUUUAUUUUAUUUUAUAGAUAAAACUUUCAGAAGCACAAAGAAAGCUCAGACUCAAAAAGGAGAAGUGCUCUUACUGAUUUUUGUCUUGCUAUUUGCGGCUACCAUGAAAGGUGGUCCUGCUAUGCCACUCUGCCUUGAAGCCAACUGAGUACAGAUUGAAACCUCCAAAACUGGGGUGGAUACUAGGAAUUGAAUUCAGGACUUCACGCUUGCCAGUUGAAUCUGGGUGCCUGGCCUCGGCAGGAAGAUGGUGGUCAUGGAGGGGAGUGGCAGACCAGAGAACUGCACUGACUCGCAGUGAGUGUGGGGGACUCAGUCCUCCCCAUGGGAGUGGGUGAUUGGCUAGGUGUCAUUUUGGAGUCAGGCAGGAUAAAACCAGAACGAGAACUGCAGCCAGCCUCAUUUAGCCACUCCUAACACAGAGCAGAUUGGUGAGAAUUGCUUGGACUGAGUCGUGCCCCUGUGCAUGAUCCAACAGUCAAGGCCGAGGUUUCCUUAAAUCUAUCCCUAACUGGCCCCAACCAUGCAGCACACACUGGGAGUGGUAAAGACUCCCAGUGGUUGAUCAGCUCAGAAGGGAGGGGCCAACCUGCCACUGUACUCCAGGUAGUCACCAGCAGAUUGGGGAGGGCAGCAAUCCCUAGCCAGCACACUUCAGAAAAAUUAUAACCCAUAUAAGAAGUGCUGGGGACCCCACUAUCCACUAGUCUGGAAGAAACCAGAAACAUGACAAGAAGAGGAAACAAAAGGCAGUCUCCAGCCUCCAAGCCAGGCAGUACUAGCCCAGGAGAGGUAAACACAGAAGACAUCGGAAGUUGUAAAUCUGCAGUUUCAGAGGCAACAGUAUCUGACAUAAACAAGUAUCUUCGUGAAAUGAUAAAAGAACUUAAAACAGAAAUACUAAUACAAGUAAGAGAAGAUAUAAGAAAAAUAAUUUUUAAAAUGGUAUGUGUCUCUCAAGAAGACACAAAUGGAAGAAUAGAGGAGCAUAGCAAAAGGGGGAAACUGUCAAUGAAGAAUAUUUAAAAAAUUAGGAUACACAAAACACAUUCAAAGAGAUUACCAAGAAAUUAAAAAUUCCAUUGAAAGCUGGCAAAACUGUUUGAAAGAAACUAAAGUUAGGUUAUCAAACCUUGAAGAGAAGUUUGCAACUGGUGAUCACGAAAGCAAAGAUCUCAAAAAUAACAAGGAACCAGGAAGUAACAAUACAAAUGCUAGAAGAUGACAAGAGAAUCUAUAACUUAAGAAUUAAAAAAGUGAGUAAAGAAGCAGGAGUAAACACAAAUGAAAUACAAAGGCUACUUACAGAAAUAAUUAAAGAAAACUUCUCAAGCAUAGGAAAAGGAAAUGAUAUUCAGAUAUAUGAGACACAAAACUCCGGCCACCUAUAACCAAAAUAGAUCAACACCCAGACAUAUAAUAAUCAAGAUCCCAGAAAUUCAGCACAAGAGCAGAAUAUUAAAAGCUGUUAGAAAAAAUAAACAGAUCACCUACAAAGGAAAACACAUCAAAAUCACAACAGACUUCUUGAUACAAACCAUCAAAUCAAGAAGACCUUGGAGUGAAGUAUUCCAAGCCCUGAAAGAAAAUAACCUCCAACCCAGAUUGAUGAACCCUGGAAAACUAUCUCUCAAAAUUAAUGGAGAAACAAGAUGCUUCCAUGACAAAGAGGAGCUGGGAGAGUUCAUGACCACCAAUCUAACCCUACAAAAAAUACUGAAAGACAUUCUAGAGAAAGAGAGAAAAGACCAUGGUUUGAGGAAUAGUGGCAGCAGGGGCUCACUGAAUGGGGCAGACAUUGGAAUGAAGGAGAAAAGUAAACAAUCAACGGCAGGAAAAUAGCAUGGCAGAGAUGAGGCAGAGAAGGUUGGCCAUAAUUGCUAACACAUCUGGCCUUGAUACACUAACAAAAAGAAACACAGACGAGUGGAUCAGAAGAUAGGGUCCAUCAAGAUGCUCUAUAUAAGAAAUAUAAUUAACCUGAAAGAGGGCUUAUGAACUGAAAGUCAAAGAUGAGAAAAUAAUGUUCUAUGUGACAGGGAACCAGAAAAAAGUGGAGGUAGCUCACCCUUCAGCUGCAGAUUGGUUGGAAAGACAUAACACUUUUAUACAAUGGAGAACUACUCAGUUAUAAGGAAGGAAAACCUUGAGGCUCUUGUAGGUAAAUGGAUGCAACUUGAGAUCAAGCUCAGGGGUAAAAAGGUUCUGAACCACUUAGGUUAAAAAGGUUCAGAACCACUUAGGUAAAUAGCGAGUUGCCUCCCUAAUCUAAAACUAAAGGAGCUAGUGGGAUACAAAAUGUACAAUGUACCCUGAGAAAGUGAAAGGUGAGGAACUGUCUAAAUAGGGAAGGCAGAGGACAUUGUUAAUCUUGUGUCAUGAUUUGAAACCCAUAUUGUUUUCAUCUCUCUGUUCAAUUUGGUUAUAUCCUGUUCCACUUUGUCUACUUGUACUAGAUUUGAUGGCAUGGACAGCUAUUCCAAAGAUAGCAGGAUAUACUACUGUAACCAUUUUUGUUUUUGUAUUAACAUAAUUUGAAGCCCUGUAUUGCUUUCGUUGUUUUGUUAUGACUGAUUUUAUUUGAAUGUUUUGUUUGAUUGCUGUCUUGUCUUGACUGAUUUUAUUCAAAUCUGUUAUGUUUGACAGUAUCAAGUCUGAGGGUAUAGACAACUAUUCUGAAGACAAUAAGAUUCACUAUGAUACCCAUUCUAUUUUGACUGUUAUCUUCUUUUGAAGUCUCAUAAUGUCUCCAAUGUUCUGUUUUUAUUGAUUUUGUUCUGUAUUGCUAUGUUCAAUUUUAUUAUACCCGAUUAUAUGGGCAAUUCUAUUGAAGAUAACAAGAGACAUCAUUAUAAUAAUUGUAGAUCACCUUGUAUUUUGGUUUUAAGUCAUGUACUAUGUCCAUCCUUUUGUUUUGACUGACCCCAUUUUGUUUUUUGGUUUUUUUUUUCAUUUGGUUUUAUUCUCUUCAAAAUGAAAAAAAGGAGAAAUGACCAACCCAAGCUUUCCUAGCUUUUGGGUGUUGACUAUUUUGUCCCAGCAGUGAGGAAAGUAGCUAAGACGGCAAAGGGGUAUAAAUUCUAAAUUCAGCACUCACUGAAUUGCUUAACCUCUUUGAAUCUUAGUGUUUUGUUCAUAGUAGAUAAAUAACUAUACUCAUUUCAUUAGAUUGGCUGAUUUGCAUACUAGCAUAAUUUAGAUGUUGGCCAUAACAACAAAAUAUCUUGUAGCAUUAUUUCACAAAAGAAAGAAUAUCAAGCUUUGCAAUAUCAUUUCAGUGGAAUAAAAUACUUGAACUCAAUAUUUAAAGAAUGCAGAAGACAUUAUGUCAUGCAUACAAGGGAGAUAGAUAUUUAAACCAAGAAAAAGAGUAAAAUGAAAAUUUAGAAUACUUUUAGAACACUGUUGUGG